rnacentral:rRNA from 1 species
UACGUAGGUGGCAAGCGUUGUCCGGAAUUAUUGGGCGUAAAGCGCGCGCAGGCGGCCUUUUAAGUCUGAUGUGAAAGCCCACGGCUCAACCGUGGAAGGUCAUUGGAAACUGAAAGGCUUGAGUACAGAAGAGGAAAGUGGAAUUCCGCGUGUAGUGGUGAAAUGCGUAGAGAUGCGGAGGAACACCAGUGGCGAAGGCGGCUAUCUGGACGGUUUCUGACACUAAGACUCGAAAGCGUGGGGAGCAAACAGG